AGGGCGCACGGUGGAUGCCUUGGCACUAGGAGCCGACGAAGGACGUGACAAACGACGAUAUGCCUUGGGUAGCUGUAAGUAAGCGAUGAUCCAGGGAUUUCCGAAUGGGGGAACCCAACAGGUAAUACCUGUUACCUACAUCUGUUAAGGAUGUGAGGAGGAAGACGCAGUGAACUGAAACAUCUAAGUAGCUGCAGGAAGAGAAAGCAAAAGCGAUUGCCUUAGUAGCGGCGAGCGAAACGGCAGAAGGGCAAACCGAAGAGUUUACUCUUCGGGGUUGUAGGACUGCAAUGUGGACUCAAAGAUUAUAGAAGAAUGAUUUGGGAAGAUCAGCCAAAGAGAGUAAUAGCCUCGUAUUUAAAAUAGUCUUUGUACUUAGCAGUAUCCUGAGUACGGCGGGACACGUGAAAUCCCGUCGGAAUCUGGGAGGACCAUCUCCCAACCCUAAAUACUCCCUAGUGACCGAUAGUGAACCAGUACCGUGAGGGAAAGGUGAAAAGCACCCCGGGAGGGGAGUGAAAUAGAACCUGAAACCGUGUGCCUACAACAAGUUCGAGCCCGUUAAUGGGUGAGAGCGUGCCUUUUGUAGAAUGAACCGGCGAGUUACGUUAUGAUGCGAGGUUAAGUUGAAGAGACGGAGCCGUAGGGAAACCGAGUCUGAAUAGGGCGCCUUAGUAUCAUGACGUAGACCCGAAACCAUGUGACCUACCCAUGAGCAGGUUGAAGGUGCGGUAAGACGCACUGGAGGACCGAACCAGGGCACGUUGAAAAGUGCUUGGAUGACUUGUGGGUAGCGGAGAAAUUCCAAACGAACUUGGAGAUAGCUGGUUCUCUCCGAAAUAGCUUUAGGGCUAGCGUCGACAUUAGAGAUUCUUGGAGGUAGAGCACUGUUUGGGUGAGGGGUCCAUCCCGGAUUACCAAUCUCAGAUAAACUCCGAAUGCCAAUGAAUUAUGGUCGGCAGUCAGACUGCGAGUGCUAAGAUCCGUAGUCGAAAGGGAAACAGCCCAGACCACCAGCUAAGGUCCCAAAAUAAUUGUUAAGUGGAAAAGGAUGUGGGGUUGCACAGACAACUAGGAUGUUAGCUUAGAAGCAGCUAUUCAUUCAAAGAGUGCGUAAUAGCUCACUAGUCGAGUGACCCUGCGCCGAAAAUGUACCGGGGCUAAAACAAUUUACCGAAGCUGUGGAUACCUUUAUAGGUAUGGUAGGAGAGCGUUCUAUGUGUGAUGAAGGUAUACCGUGAGGAGUGCUGGAACGCAUAGAAGUGAGAAUGCCGGUAUGAGUAGCGAAAGACAGGUGAGAAUCCUGUCCACCGUAAGACUAAGGUUUCCAGGGGAAGGCUCGUCCGCCCUGGGUUAGUCGGGACCUAAGGAGAGACCGAAAGGUGUAUCCGAUGGACAACAGGUUGAUAUUCCUGUACUAGAGUAUGUAGUGAUGGAGGGACGCAGUAGGCUAACUAAAGCAGACGAUUGGAAGAGUCUGUCUAAGCAGUGAGGUGUGAAUUGAGUCAAAUGCUUAAUUCUAUAACAUUGAGCUGUGAUGGGGAGCGAAGUUUAGUAGCGAAGUUAGUGACGUCACACUGCCAAGAAAAGCUUCUAGCAUUUAAACAUACUCUACCCGUACCGCAAACCGACACAGGUAGUCGAGGCGAGUAGCCUCAGGUGAGCGAGAGAACUCUCGUUAAGGAACUCGGCAAAAUGACCCCGUAACUUCGGGAGAAGGGGUGCUGACUUUAAGUUAGCCGCAGUGAAUAGGCCCAAGCAACUGUUUAUCAAAAACACAGCUCUCUGCUAAAUCGUAAGAUGAUGUAUAGGGGGUGACGCCUGCCCGGUGCUGGAAGGUUAAGAGGAGUGCUUAGCGUAAGCGAAGGUAUGAAUUGAAGCCCCAGUAAACGGCGGCCGUAACUAUAACGGUCCUAAGGUAGCGAAAUUCCUUGUCGGGUAAGUUCCGACCCGCACGAAAGGCGUAAUGAUUUGGGCACUGUCUCAACGAGAGACUCGGUGAAAUUUUAGUACCUGUGAAGAUGCAGGUUACCCGCGACAGGACGGAAAGACCCCAUGGAGCUUUACUGCAGUUUGAUAUUGAGUGUCUGUACCACAUGUACAGGAUAGGUAGGAGUCUAAGAGAUCGGGACGCCAGUUUCGAAGGAGACGCUGUUGGGAUACUACCCUUGUGUUAUGGCCACUCUAACCCAGAUAGGUGAUCCCUAUCGGAGACAGUGUCUGACGGGCAGUUUGACUGGGGCGGUCGCCUCCUAAAAGGUAACGGAGGCGCCCAAAGGUUCCCUCAGAAUGGUUGGAAAUCAUUCGCAGAGUGUAAAGGUAUAAGGGAGCUUGACUGCGAGAGCUACAACUCGAGCAGGGACGAAAGUCGGGCUUAGUGAUCCGGUGGUUCCGUAUGGAAGGGCCAUCGCUCAACGGAUAAAAGCUACCCUGGGGAUAACAGGCUUAUCUCCCCCAAGAGUUCACAUCGACGGGGAGGUUUGGCACCUCGAUGUCGGCUCGUCGCAUCCUGGGGCUGUAGUCGGUCCCAAGGGUUGGGCUGUUCGCCCAUUAAAGCGGCACGCGAGCUGGGUUCAGAACGUCGUGAGACAGUUCGGUCCCUAUCCGUCGCGGGCGUAGGAAAUUUGAGAGGAUCUGCUCCUAGUACGAGAGGACCAGAGUGGACUUACCGCUGGUGUACCAGUUGUCUUGCCAAAGGCAUCGCUGGGUAGCUAUGUAGGGAAGGGAUAAACGCUGAAAGCAUCUAAGUGUGAAACCCACCUCAAGAUGAGAUUUCCCAUGAUUAU
rnacentral:rRNA from 1 species